AAAUGCGAUAACUAAUGUGAAUUGCAGAAUUCAGUGAAUCAUCGAGUCUUUGAACGCACAUUGCGCCCCCUGGUAUUCCGGGGGGCAUGCCUGUCCGAGCGUCAUUGCUGCCCUCAAGCCCGGCUUGUGUGUUGGGCCCUCGUCCCCCGGCUCCCGGGGGACGGGCCCGAAAGGCAGCGGCGGCACCGCGUCCGGUCCUCGAGCGUAUGGGGCUUCGUCUUCCGCUCCGUAGGCCCGGCCGGCGCCCGCCGACGCAUUUAUUUGCAACUUGUUUUUUUCCAGGUUGACCUCGGAUCAGGUAGGGAUACCCGCUGAACUUAAGC
rnacentral:misc_RNA from 1 species